UUAAGGUUUAAUAGUUUUUUGGCAUUGUAUUAGAGCCUCUCAGACCAAAAAGUCCCAAAUUCGAAUCCUAAUUACCUUCAUUCAUUAAUUAAACAUUUUAGCACAAGGUAAAGUAGGUAUGUGUUUGUUCAUGCUCCUAGCCUAGUGAACAUUCACGUAUGGGAAUGUGUUAGAGAAAUAAAACUAUUUUUGUGACUUUUACCCAUAAGUUUGAGCUUUUAGGUUGAG
rnacentral:misc_RNA from 1 species